UACGGAGGAUCCGAGCGUUAUCCGGAUUUAUUGGGUUUAAAGGGUGCGCAGGCGGGGGAUUAAGUCGGCGGUGAAAUUUUGCAGCUCAACUGUAAAAGUGCCUUCGAUACUGGUUUCCUUGAGUGUGGAUGAAGUAGGCGGAAUUUGUGGUGUAGCGGUGAAAUGCAUAGAUAUCACGAGGAACUCCGAUUGCGCAGGCAGCUUACUAAGCCAUAACUGACGCUCAAGCACGAAGGCGUGGGGAUCAAACAGGAUUAGAUACCCCGGUA
rnacentral:rRNA from 1 species